AAAAAAAUAAAGUUAAAUUUUUUUAACAUAAAUAGUCAUUUAAAAUGAAAUACGAUAAAUAAAGAUAAAAUUUUUAAGUCUUUUAUAAAAUAAAACACAAAUAUAUGAAAAUGUGACAUUUACUAAAUAUUUGUCAAUUGAAAAAAAAAACAAAAAUAAACCCGCGCUUUGAAAGCGCGGGUCAAAAUCUAGUAUACUAUUAAAACUGAAGUACAAUUUAGAAUUAACGCUUGGUUCACCUUUAUGAUUACAACUUCAUGCCAUUGAGUUAAUAACUACAAAUUUAAUACAAUUAUCUUUUUUUUUUUGAACAACACAAUUAUCUAUUAUUAAUUAUAAAGUAACCUAUUAAUUAUCCAGUUUUGUUUACUUAAUGCAAGUGUGUUGUUCGAGUCAUACAUUUGUCAUACCUGAUAUGAUAUUUAACCGUGUACAUUAGUCUUUACAAAUUGAAAAUUCUAAUUGGAUUAUAUUUUUGGUUUAGCAUACAAGUUCUAUCUACUAGCUAAUAUUGUAGUACAAUAAGCCAACCAAUAUUCUAUUUAUUAAACUAUUCCAGUGCUUCAUCUUAAGAUAAAACAUCUUACAAUCCGGUUUACCAUACAUGUUGUAAACAAAAAUAAUAUUGUAAAGGUAUGCUCAAAAUAUAUUCAAUAAAAUAUGGAUUAUAAUAUAGUUUAUAAAAUUUGACAAAACCAUACAUAACUACCCAUAUAAAACAUAACAUACAAUCUGAUAAAUAUAGAGAAAUUUAGAUUUUACAUCAUUUUCUUAACAAUAAAUUCUGCCAAAUCAUAAAUUAUAAUGCUUAAAAAACAAACUCAACGUAUUUGGGUUAUCAAAAUUUUGAUAUUUAUAUAAAAUAUUCCUAAAAUCUAGAAAACCAAUCUUACUUUUUAUUGAGCUAAUCUAGAAUAUAUAUAUAAAUAUAUAUAUAUAGACAAAAAUUAAAAUCGACAUUUAAUUCAUUACUCAUAAUACAAAUAUAUAUAUAUAUAUAUAUAUAUCUAUUUUUAACAAACACAAUAAUCAUUAUUUAUAAUUUAGUCAUAAAAUAUAGAUUACGAAAUAAUCUUUCUUAAUGUAUUCUAUAGCCGGAUAAAUAAAUAUCAAUAUUUGGCUUAUGGAAUCUUCAUUAGUUCAUAAUCAUCUUUGUUAGACAAAAGUGAAUUCAUCAUAAUCGAUUUGAAGUUUUGAACUUCUAAAAAAUCAGAAUAUUCCUUGACUGAAACUUCUAAGUCUGGCAAUAACUAUACUAUUAAAGCAAAAAAUUAGUUACAGAUUUUGACAUAUGUGUUUAUUCUUUGAUUUUUUUCUUAUUAUUUUAUUAUUCUAUUAACUCCUCAUGGGUUUAGUCUAUUAAUAGUUUAUUAAAAAUCAUUGUAUUUGUAAUGAUUUAAUGGCCCAUUCUAACGGUCCAAAUUUUAUUGAAAAUUUAGUUAAAUGUUAAAUGAAUUUUAAACUUAUGUUUUACUAAUCUAAAUAUAACAUAUUAAUAGUUCCAAAAUAUUAUUUUCCUUGAAUAACUCAUUUAUGUAUUUUCAUCAUACAUAUAAAAUCUAAUACUAAAUCUUGAAAUUAUAUUUUAUAAAGAGAUUUUAAAGUUAAUAAAAACUUAGUAACUAAUUGGGGAAAUUUUACUUAUACACUUUUUAUGAUACCACUUUUCAACUUUACCAUCAAUCAAAAAGCAUUUUCAAAAAUACCACAUUCAUUAAUGUGUAAAAGACAAUAUUGCCCUUAACUUAUCUUCAACUCAUUUCUCUCUCUCUCUCGUGAAUCUCCGUCCGUCGUCUAUCGUCUCUGUUCAGAUCCGCUGUUUUCCGUUCAGAUCCGCCGUCUCCGUUCAGAUUCGCCGUCUAUUCGCCGUCUCUGUCCUCCAGAUCCACCGUCUCUGUCCUAAACCGACGUCUUCGUCCAGAUUCGUCGUCUUCGUCCAGAUCCACGAAGCAAUCGAGAUCGAGACUCAAAACUUCAAAUGUUGAAUCCUCAGCAAGAAUCACAACCUAUUGCAGAGUCUGUUUCUUUUAGCAGCGAUAAAAAGUAUGAUAUAACGCAAGUGAAGGCUCCAUCUCAGCUGCAGAAAACGAUGUGUUAAGUAACUCAAUCAACUAAAAGACAAUUUAGAAAGGCUUAUAAGACAGUUUAUAAAGUUUGUUAAAUAAUUUAUAAGGUUUAUAAAUUCUGCACAAUUUUGAAGUUAACUACGAGGUAUUGUGAUACUUCAACAGAGCUACCAGACAAGCCAAAACUGAUCAUCCAACGUUCAAAUAUGAAUUAUGUUGAAAAUGAUUUUUUGUAUUUUAGGUAAGGAGGAAUUUAGUGAAAUUGAGAAUUCACACCUUGCGGAAGUGUUGUAGAACUAGCUAGAAAGAAUAACAUUCAAUUUUCAGGAGAACCUUAUGCAAAUAAGAUUAUUGAUGAAUGGGGGUAGAUCUAUGGUUCACUUUCUCAUAUCAACCAAUGGGGUUAGAUCUAUGAUUAUUGAUGAAUGUAAAUAAUUUAUAAAAGUUUAUAAAAAACGUUAUGAAAGCAUACAUUCAAUUUAUAAGGGUAUUAUAUGAGUUCCAUAGGUUUAUAAAUCAACUAAAAGAGUCUAUAACCAUUUAGAAAGCCUUAUAAAACAAUUUAUAAUGGUUUGUAUAAUAAUUUAUAAGGGUUUAUAA